GGAAUUUUCCGCAAUGGGCGAAAGCCUGACGGAGCAACGCCGCGUGAGGGACGAAGGCCUCUGGGCUGUAAACCUCUUUUCUCAAGGAAGAAGAACUGACGGUACUUGAGGAAUAAGCCACGGCUAAUUCCGUGCCAGCAGCCGCGGUAAUACGGGAGUGGCAAGCGUUAUCCGGAAUUAUUGGGCGUAAAGCGUCCGCAGGCGGCCUCGUAAGUCUGUCGUUAAAGCGUGGAGCUUAACUCCAUUUAAGCGAUGGAAACUGUGAGGCUUGAGUGUGGUAGGGGCAGAGGGAAUUCCCGGUGUAGCGGUGAAAUGCGUAGAUAUCGGGAAGAACACCAGUGGCGAAGGCGCUCUGCUGGGCCAUAACUGACGCUCAUGGACGAAAGCCAGGGGAGCGAAAGGGAUUAGAUACCCCUGUAGUCCUGGCCGUAAACGAUGAACACUAGGUGUCGGGGGAAUCGACCCCCUCGGUGUCGUAGCCAACGCGUUAAGUGUUCCGCCUGGGGAGUACGCACGCAAGUGUGAAACUCAAAUGAAUUGAC
rnacentral:rRNA from 1 species